rnacentral:misc_RNA from 1 species
AAGUCGUAACAAGGUUUCCGUAGGUGAACCUGCGGAAGGAUCAUUAACACGUGUCCCACGUAUCAAACCAAAACCGAGAACUGUGAACGUAUUCCGGGAUGAACUGAAUGGGCGUUGUCUAAUGCUGACUUCGGUCGGCAUUGGAUUUCGCACAUUUGGCUCAAACCGUAACCUAAACCCAUUACUUAUUAUUAUUAUCUUGUGUUAAGAUCAUCGUGCUGGUGCUUAGUAAGGGAAGUAGUUUGUUUGGAUGCCCUCUUUCAAUGUUCCGCUGAACCUGUAACAGGGGUAAUGCCGUUCGUUGGAUUUGGGAAGCGCUUCGGUGCCGCGACAAACCAAAACCUUCGCUAUUGUGCUAGUAAUGGUGGCUUAUUACAAACUCUGUACAACUCUUAGCAACGGAUAUCUUGGUUUCC